rnacentral:rRNA from 1 species
UACGAAGGGGGCUAGCGUUGCUCGGAAUCACUGGGCGUAAAGCGCACGUAGGCGGAUCUUUAAGUCAGGGGUGAAAUCCUGGAGCUCAACUCCAGAACUGCCUUUGAUACUGGGGAUCUCGAGUCCGGGAGAGGUGAGUGGAACUCCGAGUGUAGAGGUGAAAUUCGUAGAUAUUCGGAGGAACACCAGUGGCGAAGGCGGCUAUCUGGACAGAAACUGACGCUGAGGCGCGAAAGCUAGGGGAGCAAACAGG